rnacentral:rRNA from 1 species
AACUGCUCUUUAACAAUUUAUCAGACAAUCUGUGUGGGCACUCAAAGUGACAUGGAUUCUUAACGUCCUCGGACGAAAAAUGAAUACCAAGUCUCAAGAGUGAACACGUAAUUCAUUACGAAGUUUAAUUCUUUGAGCAUCAAACUUAAAUUGAAGAGUUUGAUCAUGGCUCAGAUUGAACGCUGGCGGCAGGCCUAACACAUGCAAGUCGAGCGGUAGCACAGAGAGCUUGCUCUCGGGUGACGAGCGGCGGACGGGUGAGUAAUGUCUGGGAAACUGCCUGAUGGAGGGGGAUAACUACUGGAAACGGUAGCUAAUACCGCAUAAUGUCGCAAGACCAAAGUGGGGGACCUUCGGGCCUCAUGCCAUCAGAUGUGCCCAGAUGGGAUUAGCUAGUAGGUGGGGUAACGGCUCACCUAGGCGACGAUCCCUAGCUGGUCUGAGAGGAUGACCAGCCACACUGGAACUGAGACACGGUCCAGACUCCUACGGGAGGCAGCAGUGGGGAAUAUUGCACAAUGGGCGCAAGCCUGAUGCAGCCAUGCCGCGUGUGUGAAGAAGGCCUUCGGGUUGUAAAGCACUUUCAGCGGGGAGGAAGGCGUUAAGGUUAAUAACCUUGGCGAUUGACGUUACCCGCAGAAGAAGCACCGGCUAACUCCGUGCCAGCAGCCGCGGUAAUACGGAGGGUGCAAGCGUUAAUCGGAAUUACUGGGCGUAAAGCGCACGCAGGCGGUCUGUCAAGUCGGAUGUGAAAUCCCCGGGCUCAACCUGGGAACUGCAUUCGAAACUGGCAGGCUAGAGUCUUGUAGAGGGGGGUAGAAUUCCAGGUGUAGCGGUGAAAUGCGUAGAGAUCUGGAGGAAUACCGGUGGCGAAGGCGGCCCCCUGGACAAAGACUGACGCUCAGGUGCGAAAGCGUGGGGAGCAAACAGGAUUAGAUACCCUGGUAGUCCACGCCGUAAACGAUGUCGAUUUGGAGGUUGUGCCCUUGAGGCGUGGCUUCCGGAGCUAACGCGUUAAAUCGACCGCCUGGGGAGUACGGCCGCAAGGUUAAAACUCAAAUGAAUUGACGGGGGCCCGCACAAGCGGUGGAGCAUGUGGUUUAAUUCGAUGCAACGCGAAGAACCUUACCUGGUCUUGACAUCCACAGAACUUUCCAGAGAUGGAUUGGUGCCUUCGGGAACUGUGAGACAGGUGCUGCAUGGCUGUCGUCAGCUCGUGUUGUGAAAUGUUGGGUUAAGUCCCGCAACGAGCGCAACCCUUAUCCUUUGUUGCCAGCGGUUAGGCCGGGAACUCAAAGGAGACUGCCAGUGAUAAACUGGAGGAAGGUGGGGAUGACGUCAAGUCAUCAUGGCCCUUACGACCAGGGCUACACACGUGCUACAAUGGCAUAUACAAAGAGAAGCGACCUCGCGAGAGCAAGCGGACCUCAUAAAGUAUGUCGUAGUCCGGAUUGGAGUCUGCAACUCGACUCCAUGAAGUCGGAAUCGCUAGUAAUCGUAGAUCAGAAUGCUACGGUGAAUACGUUCCCGGGCCUUGUACACACCGCCCGUCACACCAUGGGAGUGGGUUGCAAAAGAAGUAGGUAGCUUAACCUUCGGGAGGGCGCUUACCACUUUGUGAUUCAUGACUGGGGUGAAGUCGUAACAAGGUAACCGUAGGGGAACCUGCGGUUGGAUCACCUCCUUA